UACGUAGGGUGCGAGCGUUGUCCGGAAUUAUUGGGCGUAAAGAGCUCGUAGGCGGUCUGUCGCGUCGGUCGUGAAAACUUGGGGCUUAACCCUGAGCUUGCGGUCGAUACGGGCAUGACUGGAGUUCGGCAGGGGAGACUGGAAUUCCUGGUGUAGCGGUGAAAUGCGCAGAUAUCUGGAGGAACACCGGUGGCGAAGGCGGCAUCCUGGACCAAUACUGACACUGAGGAGCGAAAGCGUGGGGAGCGAACAGG
rnacentral:rRNA from 1 species